GGGAAUCUUGCGCAAUGGGCGAAAGCCUGACGCAGCCAUGCCGCGUGGAUGAUGAAGGUCUUAGGAUUGUAAAAUCCUUUCAGCGGGGACGAUAAUGACGGUACCCGCAGAAGAAGCCCCGGCUAACUUCGUGCCAGCAGCCGCGGUAAUACGAAGGGGGCUAGCGUUGCUCGGAAUUACUGGGCGUAAAGGGCGCGUAGGCGGACAGUUAAGUCAGGGGUGAAAGCCCGGGGCUCAACCUCGGAAUUGCCUUCGAUACUGGCUGUCUUGAGUAUGAGAGAGGUGUGUGGAACUCCGAGUGUAGAGGUGAAAUUCGUAGAUAUUCGGAAGAACACCAGUGGCGAAGGCGACACACUGGCUCAUUACUGACGCUGAGGCGCGAAAGCGUGGGGAGCAAACA
rnacentral:rRNA from 1 species